rnacentral:misc_RNA from 1 species
AAUUAUUUUGGGAUUUGAUAUUUUUUUUAUUAGUAUGUGGAUGAUUUUAUUUUUUUUUGUUUAAGUUUUAUUUUUUUUAGUAUGUAAUGAUUUUAUUUUGUUUUUAGUUAGGAAUUUUAGUUUGUUAGAAAUAAGAAGUGGGGAGGUUUGUAGUGUUGAUUUAAAAAAUGGUUAUAAUUUAAAAGUUGAGAGUUUUGUUUUAUUCGGUG